AUGUCAAGGAUGGCAAUCAGCGUACUGCUUCUCCUGAUCGUGCUGCAUUUGCUGCUGGUGGCGGAGGGGUCGGCUCAGCGCGUGGCGCUGCCGGGGUGCCGGGACAGGUGCGGCAACAUCACCGUCCCCUACCCCUUCGGCAUCGGCGCAGGCUGCUACCGCGACAGCCAAGGCGGCUUCCAGCUCGAGUGCCACGACGACUCCGGCCGCUCCCCUCCUCGCCUUACCGUCUACGGUUACAACCACCGCCUGGGAGCCCUCUCCCUCGCGUCCGGCGAGGCCCGCGCCUACCUCAACGCGACGAGGGAGUGCUACGACUCCACGGGGGGAUCCGUGGACCGGGACACCAGCAGCACGUACAUGGCCCUCAUCGGCAGCGUCUACAUCUUCUCGUCCACCAAGAACCGCCUCGUCGCGCUGGGCUGCCCCAACCUCGGCUACUUCGUCGACGGCGCCGGCUACUACGUCAGCGGCUGCAUGUCCGUGUGCCGGCCGUCCCAGAACGCCCUGCCGGGCCCGUGCACCGGCGUCGGGUGCUGCCAGAGCGAGAUACCCCCCGGCAUCAACUACUUCGAGCCGUACCAGCGCAACUUUCCGCCGGGGCAGAAUGGCAAUUCUGAUUCUGCCUUCAUCAACAACGCCACGUCGUGCCACUACGUGUUCCUCGUCGACACCGAGUGGUUCAACUACACCAACCAGGUCUUCCUCAACCGCACCGACAACUUCGACGUGCCGGUCGUGCUCGACUGGGCCGUCCGGAACGUCGGGAACUGCAGCGCCGCGAGGCUCAACGCCACUGACUUCGCCUGCCGAAGCGUGCGCAGCGAGUGCUUCGACGUCACCAAUGGCCCCGGGUACCGGUGCAGCUGCUCACAGGGCUACCAAGGCAACCCGUACCUCGACGAUGGAUGCACAGACAUCGACGAGUGCCAACUGAAAGACGCGUGCCACGGAGUCUGCACAAACACGCAGGGAAGCCAUACAUGUCGAUGCCCUGCCGGGACUAGUGGAAAUGCCACCAGGAAGGAUGGCUGCCAGUCAAUGGACAGGUUCACCUUAGCUCUGAAGAAGAGAAAACUCAUCAAGGCAAAGCAGAGUUUCUUCGAGCACAACGGUGGCGUCAUCCUACAGCAGCAGAUUCGUUCCUACAGUGACGCUGCCGGGGGAGGCGGCGUCGGUUUCAAGAUAUUCUCGGAAGAGGAGCUCAAGAAGGCGACAAACAACUUCGCCGCUGAUCAAAUCCUUGGUCGCGGUGGCCACGGUAUUGUCUACAGAGGUGUUCUGGAGGACAAAACCAUAGUUGCCAUAAAAAAUUCCAAGAUGAUGGAGGCGACCGAGGCCAAGGAGUUUGCGAGGGAGAUGCUCAUCCUCUCCCAGAUCAACCACCGGAACAUCGUCAAGUUGCACGGUUGCUGCCUCGAGGUGGAGGUGCCGAUGCUUGUCUAUGAGUACGUCUCCAACGGCACCCUCUACCACUACAUCCAUGGCGGCGAGGGCCUCGACACCAACAAGGCACUCGACACCCGCCUUCAGAUAGCAGCGGAGUCUGCCGAGGCCCUGUCAUAUAUGCACUCGUCGGCCUCGCCCCCAAUCCUCCACGGCGAUGUCAAGACGGCAAACAUCCUACUCGACGGCACCCUCACCGCCGAAGUCUCCGACUUCGGGGCGCCAAAGCUACAACCAAGUGAUGAGGCUGAGAUUGCAACACUGGUGCAAGGGACCUGCGGGUAUCUGGACCCAGAGUACCUCAUGACAUGCCAGCUCAAAGACAAGAGUGACGUUUAUAGCUUUGGUGUUGUUCUGCUUGAACUCUUGACAGGGAAGAAGGUGUUGUGCUUUGAUGGGCCAGAGGAGGACAGGAGCCUCGUGUCCCGAUUCACGACGGCCGUGAAAGCCGACCAACACGACCAGGCCCGGCCCUGA
rnacentral:rRNA from 1 species